rnacentral:rRNA from 1 species
UACGUAGGGGGCGAGCGUUGUCCGGAAUCAUUGGGCGUAAAGAGCGUGUAGGCGGACUGGAAGGUCUGGUGUGAAAGCCCGGGGCUCACCCCCCGGAAGUGCAUUGGAAACUGUUGGGCUCGAGUCCCGGAGAGGAGGGUGGAAUUCCUGGUGUAGCGGUGAAAUGCGUAGAUAUCAGGAGGAACACCGGUGGCGAAGGCGGGUCUCUGGGCAACAACUGACGCUGGAGGAGCGAAAGCGUGGGGAGCGAACAGG